UCCGCCGCCGCGGUAAUACCGGCGGCCCGAGUGGCGGUCACUAUUAUUUGGCUUAAAGCGUCCGUAGCCGGGUUGGGAAGUCCUCCGGGAAAUCUGGCCGCUUAACGGUCAGAAUGCCGGAGGAUACUCCCAGCCUAGGGGGCGGGAGAGGCCGAGGGGAUUCCCGGGGGAGGGGUGGAAUCCCAUAAUUCCGGGAGGACCACCUGUGGCGAGGGCGCUCGGCUGGAACGCGGCCGACGGUGAGGGACGAAGGCCAGGGGAGCAAACCGGAUUAGAUACCCGGGUAGUCCUGGCUGUAAACGAUGCGGACUUUGUGUCGGACAAGCUAUGAGCUUGUCCGGUGCCGGAGGGAAACCGUUAAGUCCGCCGCCUGGGGAGUACGGCCGCAAGGCUGAAACUUAAAGGAAUUGGCGGG
rnacentral:rRNA from 1 species